AUGUUUUUGGCCAGACCACUUCUUCUCUCCCAGCCUCCCUCUUUCCUUGGAUCUGUGCCUGCCUCAGAGUUGUGGAAUAACCAGGACUUCAUCCAUUCUGCACCAAUGUGGGCACAAACAACUGCAAAACAGCAGAGUGACAUGGACGAAGGAGGAUUCCCUGAUUCUGGCUCAGUGAUUCCCUCAUUCUGGGCUCCCCACGCUUGGUGUCCUUAUCCUGCUUCUGGAGAUCUCACAGACUUGGUGCAUCGCACGCUUGUGUGUCACCCACUUCUGCCACCCCAGGGAAUCCUCACUGCUUUGCUGACAGAGCAUUGGGCCACAGGGAAGAAGAGAGUGGAGCGAGUGCCGCUCAGCACAGGGUAA
rnacentral:lncRNA from 1 species